GGGUAAUGGCCCACCAAGGCAACGAUCAGUAGCCGGUCUGAGAGGAUGAACGGCCACAUUGGAACUGAGACACGGUCCAAACUCCUACGGGAGGCAGCAGUGGGGAAUAUUGCACAAUGGGGGAAACCCUGAUGCAGCAACGCCGCGUGAGUGAAGAAGUAUUUCGGUAUGUAAAGCUCUAUCAGCAGGGAAGAUAAUGACGGUACCUGACUAAGAAGCUCCGGCUAAAUAC
rnacentral:rRNA from 1 species